rnacentral:rRNA from 1 species
CGGGGUGGAGUAAUGUCUGGGAAACUGCCUGAUGGAGGGGGGUAACUACUGGAAACGGUAGCUAAUACCGCAUAACGUCGCAAGACCAAAGUGGGGGACCGUUCGGGCCUCAUGCCAUAAGAUGUGCCCAGAUGGGAUUAGCUAGUAGGUGGGGUAACGGCUCACCUAGGCGACGAUCCCUAGCUGGUCUGAGAGGAUGACCAGCCACACUGGAACUGAGACACGGUCCAG